UACAGUGACUGCAAGCGUUAUUCGGAUUCACUGGGCGUAAAGGGUGCGCAGGCGGUUGGGUGUGUCAGAUGUGAAAUCCCGAGGCUUAACCUCGGAACUGCGUCUGAAACUACUCGACUAGAGUACUGGAGAGGGAAACGGAAUUCACGGUGUAGCAGUGAAAUGCGUAGAUAUCGUGAGGAACACCAGAGGCGAAGGCGGUUUCCUGGACAGUUACUGACGCUCAGGCACGAAAGCAUGGGGAGCAAAAGGG
rnacentral:rRNA from 1 species